CAGAAAUUUCAUAAACCUUCCAAGAUGAAGUUCUUCCUCACCCUACUAGUAUUGGCUGUUGUUUUUGUCCUUGAUGUUCGCUCAAAUACCGGAAGCAGACAUCAAACAGGCCAGUGUAACGAAAAUGAAGAACAUUUGCCCGACGCAUGUGCGGAUGCUCCUUUAACAUGUGAUACUUACAAAAACCCGGAAACAAUAAAAUAUGGAGGCUGUCAUAGUGGAUGUCUUUGCAAAGAGGGAUACGUGAGACCAAACGAAAAUUCGGAUCAGUGUAUUCUGCCCACAAAUUGCCCAGCUUGACUUCGCAAAUAAAAAUGAAACAUUUCCGAUCGCUAGGGCUUUUUGAAUAGUGAAUCUUUCAAUCAAAUGAACUUAUAACUAUUAUCGUAUGCAAUAAAUGAAGAUCUUCAAAAAAAUA